AUAAUGGUCGAAAAGUCAUGAGUUCAUCUUAACAGGUAUGUGAAAACAAUAUAUAGUUAAGGGUUUAAUGAGGGAUUAAUAGAAUUUAACGUUUCUCAUUAAGAGAGUUUGGUUUCUCUAUGAGAUCCCAUUUUUGUUUGUUUUAUGUAAUGAAAGAGACAGAGACACCAAUUGUGUUCUUCUGUUUAGAGAUUUAUGUUUUCAGACAGAAUUUUUUGGUUUGGCCCAUUGAAGAACUUGCUUUAAAUCACGAGCCAACUUUUUUAUUCAUCAAUAUGUCAAAUCAAUCCUUUAAUCCAAUUUUUUUUCGAGUCAUCUGCAAUUUUGCAUUAUCAUCUUUUGAUAUUGACUGAUGAAUAAAGAAGUUUAUAUAAUUUGAUCAUCAUAGUAACAUUCAGUACAUCAAAUCUUUUACAAAUCUUUUAAUCAUGAACAUUCAGUAUAGAAUUGUCAUUUCUGUUCAUGAAUAGGAGUUUUCCAAAUAUUUUUUAUCGGUUUAUUAUGUGGCUUGUUUGUGGGUUUCAUUGUUUCUGACUUUAAGUUCUUGAUUGGUUUAUUACAUGACUAUUUAAUCUUGUUAGUGUAAAUUUCAAUGUCUUUGUUUGGUGUUUGAGUUAUUCUUAUGGGUUUGUUAUGUUUUGCUCAUGGGUAAGAAUAUAUAAUGGUCGAAAAGUCAUGUGUUCAUCUUAACAGGUAUGUGAAAACAAUACAUAGUUAAAGGUUUAAUGAGGGAUUAAGAGAAUUUAACGAUUCUCAUUAUUUUUUUGCUUUCAUCUUACUUUACUAAAGAACUGAUCUUGGUUAUGAGAGAGGUACUUGGGAUUUUGUGCGGUCUGUGGCUGCAGCUUAAGGAGAAAUUAAGAUGAUUAUUGGCCCUUGCAUUGACUGUCGCAACAUGGUACCGGUAAUGGUGAGCUUUGUAGUUAUUAAUUUGCUCGUACUUUGAUUUUACAUGUGGGAAAAUAUGUCAUACUAAGCUAAGAUAUUUUUUUCAGGAGUGAAGUCAAUUACUUAUUCUGAAUUGAUGGAUGAAGUAUGUUUAUUGCUUUUAAGUUUAGCCGGCUAUGUUUGAGAACUUGAUCUGUUUAAGACAUGACUUUGUGUUUUGUUUAUGACUUGGUAUUUUAAUGGAGAAGCAUUGGUAUUU
rnacentral:lncRNA from 1 species